CUCCAGUACAGGCUCGGAGAACAGCUGUGUUAGACUUCAGACAUGCCAACAGACCCCAAGCACUAGAUGCAACAUGCUCAAACCCCAGAACUUGACACCAGGAAAGAAAAGGGGGAUUUCCUACAUUUCUCCCAACUCCUCCUCUAGGAAGAUCUUGAGGAAAGUCCCUACUUACCUGUCUUGGAAUCAGCAGUGAGCUGAAUAACGUAGGCAGACAACUUACCCUUGAGGAGUCCAAGUUCCCCCAUCUGUAAAUGCAGACUGAUAUCAGCAGUUAACUCACAGGGCUGGGAGGCUUCAAAAGGUAAUUCUUAUAGAGAUCUCAGUGGACUGUUGGAGUGUGCAAACCCUCCAUUAAAGUCAGCUUACAGUAAA